rnacentral:lncRNA from 1 species
CCUUCCCCGGCCUGUGUUCUCCAUUGUCCCUAAUCACCCAGCGGAGCUUCCCUCCAACAAGCCUCUCGCCACCCCGCCACCUUAACUGUUCUGACCAUAAUAUUCGGCCCGCUUGCAAGAAUAGAAUGGCCUUGUCGCCCACACAAAGCCUAUCUAGAAGAUCUUUUUAUUAAAUGCAUUUAAUAUCUGGUACUAUUGGAUGUGAAUAACACUUUCCUCACUUGAGGGCUAAGGAAGCGGCCACAGGGAAAGCCUAGAGUCUUCUCUCUGAAGGAUCCCAGAACAGGCUCACCAGCUGUCAGUGCCAUUCAGGCCACAGGAUAAGACAGGACAGGAUGGAAGAGACAGAGCAGAAACCUUAACAAACCCGCAGGAGUCACUAAAUCUCAACACUACCCAGCUGGAAGGGGCCUUGGAAAUCAUCUGCCUAACCCCUGCUUUUACAGAGGAGGGGUGUCUCUAGAGGAAAGAAUUGUCCUGGGUAACACAGAGGAAAACCUGGAGCCCACUUUCCUCUCCCAGCUCAGGUCCUCCCCUGCAGGACGCUGCCCAUGUGUUCUUCCAUCCUCACCUGCUUUCCCAAGAGCUCACCCGCACUAUCGUCUGAGCCCAACAGGACCUGAACAGCUGCCAGGGUCUCAACCACAAAUGCCUUCUCCUGAGCAGAGGAAGCAGAUACUUUCAGUGGCUGAGCAGAGCAGGGACUGCUGGCUAGCAGAGGGUUAAACAGCCAAGCCAAACAGACCUCAUUUCCUGGAUAAGAGGAGGCUCAGCCCUCAGGCUUCAAGGGAGGAUCUGCCCCAGAAGGUGGAUGGUGAGCACAGAAGGAACAAGAAGGAAGACUGAGAGCAAGAAGGAAGGCAGCGGGAGCUCUCUGAUCUAUAGAGAUGCUAAUCCUGAAGAAAGAAAAGCAAGCCAGACAUUUGAACCUCAACAGCUCACUUAGUGGUCAUGGCACAGCUAGCCCAGAUGACCCAAUUGGCCUCCAUCCCCACGGACCCCGUCACUCACUGAGGAGCAGGCUGAUGAAUACCAGGAGCCCGUGGGUCCAGCAGAACGGCCGGUCCUUGGAGCACGAUCUCAUGGCAGGCUGCCUGGGCCCUGUUCAGCGGCAGAGGAAACCACAGAGGGGGAAGAGGUAAGAAAAGAGAACAAGCUUGAGCAAGUAGCCCUUCACCCUCUUUUUCACUUCAGGGGCAGGGUCAGCAAGUUACUACUCAGGAGACAGGCCACCAUUCUAGAGAAAGCCAUUCAGCUCUUUUAUCCCCUCCCAGCCCCUACAGUACUGUGCACACUCAAUACGUAAUUGCAAAAGAAAUAAAAGUACAACCUCACUUUGUGAUGUUCCUGACAAUGUAUUAGCAAGUCCCCCUCCCUGUGGGCACAACCAGCUUGGUGUUCUCACACACACCCUUCCCUGACACUUACCUGCUUCCCUGGGUGUACAGCUCAGCCCCAGGUGUCCUUGGUCAUCAGUGUCAGCCUAUGGUCUGGUGCAUAAAUCACCCUCUUACAGCAAGUCUGGGCUACGCCCUUUCUAGUACAGUGGCUUUCUUCUGUCAUUACCCAAUAUAAUAAGUAUUUAAAGCAGCCGUCUUCAUUCUUGGGCUAUCCUGAGGUUUGCUACCUCUGACCUGAAUUCCAGUGCACUCACAACUGUGCUUUUUUUCUGUGAAAGGCUGCCAAAUGCUUGUUUCUUUGGAAGGAGAUGAGUAGGAUAUCCCCAACUCCAUAUUCUUGCUCUCAAAUUUCAUUUUAAAGAGAAACACUAAAUCACACAAUCAAAAAGUUCAAUGAUCUCCCAAGUGCAAUUAUCUGAAAAAUAUCC